CGCAAUGGGCGAAAGCCUGACAGAGCAAUACCGCGUGAGGGAAGAAGGCUUACUGAGUUGUAAACCUCUGUUACCUAAGGAGGAAGAUUUGACGUUACUUAGGAGACGAAGCAUCGGCUAACUCCGUGCCAGCAGCCGCGGUAAGACGGAGGAUGCAAGUGUUAUCCGGAAUUACUGGGCGUAAAGCGUCUGCAGGUGGUUUUUUAAGUCCACUGUUAAACCUUGAGGCUCAACCUCAAAUCAGCAUUGGAAACUGGGAAACUUGAGUAUAGUAGGGGUAGAGGGAAUUUCCAGUGGAGCGGUGAAAUGCGUAGAUAUUGGAAAGAACACCGAUGGCGAAGGCACUUUACUGGGCUAUUACUGACACUCAGAGACGAAAGCUA
rnacentral:rRNA from 1 species